ACGAACGCUGGCGGCGCGCCUAACACCUGCCAGUCGCACGAGCGAGAGAGAGCUUGCUUUCUUGAGCGAGUGGCGAACGGGUGAGUAACGCGUGAGGAACCUGCCUCAAAGAGGGGGACAACAGUUGGAAACGACUGCUAAUACCGCAUAAGCCCACGGUGCCGCAUGGCACAGAGGGAAAAGGAGCAAUCCGCUUUGAGAUGGCCUCGCGUCCGAUUAGCUAGUUGGUGAGGUAACGGCCCACCAAGGCGACGAUCGGUAGCCGGACUGAGAGGUUGAACGGCCACAUUGGGACUGAGACACGGCCCAGACUCCUACGGGAAGCAGCAGUGGGGAAUAUUGCACAAUGGGGGAAACCCUGAUGCAGCGACGCCGCGUGGAGGAAGAAGGUCUUCGGAUUGUAAACUCCUGUUGUUGGGGAAGAUAAUGACGGUACCCAACAAGGAAGUGACGGCUAACUACGUG
rnacentral:rRNA from 1 species